rnacentral:sRNA from 1 species
GCCGGGUGCAGUGGCAUGCGCCUGUAAUCCCAGCAACUUGGGAAACUGAGGCAGGAGGAUCAUGAGUUCAAAGCCAGUCUCAGCAACUUAGCAACGCCCUAAGCAACUCAGUGAGACCCUGUCUCUA